UGAAUGUGUUGCCCAGGCCCAUGUGAC
rnacentral:piRNA from 1 species